UCAUUACGGGAGGUUUUAACUUUUCUAAGGCAGCAAGUCUUUUCCUCUUCCGAGCAACGAGUCCUCUCUUCCGAAGACAUCGAUUCUCCCAAUCUGAUUCCUCAGCUCUCGCUGGACAACUCUUUGAAAAGUCUGGAAAUCUCCGUAUCUCCUUCUCGUCAUCCUUACAGUGUAAAAAAUGAAACUUCGGAGGUCAUCGUUUUGUUUUCUCCUAAGGUUUCUGUUCGGCUUGAGAGAAGAACAGCUUCACGGUGACGUCGCCAGAGAAGAUUAAAGGCACACAAGAUAGCGCAAUUGAAAACUUUGGAAUCCCUCAAUAUGGGGGCAGCAUGGAUGGGAACAUCUUGUGCCUGAAAGAGAACCAUAAAGGGUGUACAGAGUUAGGGGAUUCCUUCAAAUCAAAACCUGGAGCUCUUCCGACCAUUCUUUUACUCAAUCGUGGAAUUAUUGGGUACUCUUGAGAGCCCUUCUUGAAGAAACAAGAUUGUUUCCAGUAGCACUUGAUAUCAAGGGUUCUGGAAUUGAUAUCAGAUAUAUUAACAAGAUUACUACAUUGGCAGAGUAUUCAAAACCUCUGGCUGAUUAUCUUGAAAACCUUCCUGAGGAUGAAAAGGUUAGAAACUUCACAUGACAUUCUAAAAUUCAUGCAACUUGAAGCACUGUCACCUUUUGGUCUCCUGCAGUCUGUUAUAUUGAAGAAAAUGGCACCGAGGUCUGGGAGAGGGAAAUUGAAUAAAGCCAAUGCAGAGAAUAAGAAGGAGGAAGAGAAAGUACCGUUAAGAUGCUUUAGUGAGAUGCAUCUUGAACUUUGAGGUACUUCGUUGUCUUUAAAAGCCUAGGUUAUGCAUCCCUGGGGUUGCUGUGCUUUAACACUGGGAAUGGAGCUUGAAUCUUGACUUGCUAAUUUGAUAAAUAUGGCAGCCUGUCUUGACCAGAGAUGACAAUGGAUCACAUAGAUCGUGAGACUAUCUUGAAGGGAUGAUUUCUAAAUAUCAUGAUGAGGAAGUGCCGAAAGUGAAAUCUAGGGGAAAACUGGAGGGAUCAACACAACCUACUGUGUCUAACAGUUCAAUAUUGAUGGAGAUGGCAAGCUGAAUAAGAAGAUGAUGAUGACACUACCUAUUCCACAUAUUCUGUGAGUUUAAUUUUAUAUUAAUUUUAAUUUUCACUUCCAAAACAAUUUGAUCAUAUCAUCCUUCCUUCAUUUAUAAAGCCUAAUGCUCAUACCUUGAUGAUGAGAUCUCAGGUAGGUUUUGACGUUUUUCUCAGUAAAACCUUCUCCAUGGCAUAUUGCCGUUUCUCUCUCUUUUAGAGUUUUUAUGUUUUUUUUUUUUCUUGGUUCAACUUGCAUUUAAGAGUUCAAGGAACCUUAGUUUAGUAUAGAAUCACAAUAAUUCUAUACAAGAGCCUGGGUAGGAAGAUAGUGCGCAAGCUUUUUGAGAUAAUUCUGAUAAUGUUCAAUGUUUGUUAUGUAAAGAAGUGAAACCGCAUUAGUUCUAGAAUGAUUUAGAGGUGCUGGAAGUGUUGCUGGGGCUGGUAGUUUAGUGCACCAUUUUGCUUUAGCUUCUGCGUCUACAAAUUUAGGUUCUUUUUUAUUAACAAUUAUUAACAUGCAUCCUGCCUUCAGGUUAGUAUUUUAUUGAUUUUUAUUGCAUUCAAAUAAAAAGAAAUACAUAUUUUUAUUAACUCAUCAUUAAUGUUAAUUAUUUCAUAUUCCAUCCACAUGUUCUUCAAUUACUUCAUUAAUGAACAUUUAUUAUCAAGUGUGUAAAUUAUGUAAAAUAUUUAAUGUUUAAUAGUAAGAAUUAAAUCUCAGGCACUUUGAAUGUUGGGAAAAAUUAAAUACUAAAUAUUCAAAUAUUCAAUUAUCUUCCGCAAAACCAUUUUCCUAAUAUCAGUUUGAAAAUUUGAUACAAAAAAAUAAAUCUGUUACUUCGAAUAUUGAGAAGGAUUAAAUUUUGAAGAUUUAAAUUAUUGAUUAUCUCUUUGAAACUUGAAAAAUUAUUUUUCUAAUAUUUCACUAUUAAAUUCAUAAUUGAUUUUCCAACAAGAAGUCUCCUUGAGAAAUUGAAACAUUCAAGAUUAAAAUCGUUUUUCUAAUAUUUCACUAUUAAAUACGUAAUUGAUUUUCUAAUCAAAAGUCUCUCAUUAUAGUGCCUCUUGAGAAACUAAAACAUUCAAGAUUAAUUCUCUCAAAAGUUGUGUAUUUACAUGUGGUUGACAGAAUAUUUCAUGUGUAAAUUAUCAAAUUAAUUAAAUUACAUUUAAUCAUGCAAUGAGAAUUAUUUUUCUCCUCUUUUUCUGAACACCUAAUAAAUUACAAUAUGCUACUUAUUGCGUGCAUCCAUUUAUAAAAGGGCCCAAAUUUUAAUACUUUGUAUUCUUUCCUUCCAAACGUAACUAUUCUUCCUUUUAAUUCUUUCACAUUUGAUUGUGCACUUGAAUUAUCUGCGGCAAAGAUGGAACUCAAUUAGCAUGACUUUGUUCAAGACAUCAAUAAUUUCAUGGAGAUAUGGUGUAUUAUCGUUAGAGUCUUGAGAAAAUAGCAUAUAAACCAAAAAAAUGGCAUUUAAAUUUAGGCCUUUGUCAAUUACUACAAAUGUAGUUUAUAAAGAAAUUUUUCAAAAUGUUGUAUAAGGGAAAAAAUAAGAUGUUUUAUAUUAGAGUUGAAUAAA